rnacentral:rRNA from 1 species
AAUAGCCUAUCGGCUGAACCAGCAACUUGGAGGAAUGUAUAUCGACUCUGUCGAAUAAAGUUCUAGUUAAGUUAUGAUAAUGACAUUUCUUAACUAUGUGUCUUGACCAAAUCACGUGCCAGCAGUCGCGGUAAUACGUGGAAGACUAGUGUUAUUCAUCUUUAACAGGUUUAAAGGGUACCUAGACGGUAAAUCAAGCCCCGAAAGGGUACUAAUUUACUAGAGUUUAAUAAGAGAGGGGGAGUACUGAUGAGUGGAGAGAUGAAAUUUUAUGAUACCAUUAGGAACAGUCAAAGGCGAAAGCGACCUUUUACAUAAAAACUGACGUUGAGGGACGAAGGCUUUAGUCGUGAACAGGAUUAGAUACCCAAGUAAUUAAAGCAGACAAUGAUGAAUGUCAUAGAUUAGUGCGUGGUAUUAAUCUAUAAACGAAAGUGUAAGCCUUCCACCUCAAGAGUAAUGCGGCAACGCAGAAACUGAAAUCAUUAGACCGUUUUUGAAACCCGUAGUGAAGUAUGUUGUUUAAUUAGAUAAUCCGCAAAAGACCUCCCCACAAUUUGAAUAUUUAAAUUAUUAAUCCAAGCGUUGCACGGCGUGUCUUCAGUUAAUGUCGUGAGAUUAGGUUAGUUCCAUUAAAUUAACGUAAACCCUUGCUUUAUUUAUAUUAUAAAGUAGAUCACCGCUAUAUUGGAUGUGAUAAUAGGGGGUAAGACAAGUCAUCACGGCAUAAAUAUUGU